ACUUUCGAUGGUAGGAUAGUGNCCUCACCCAUGGCUGGCAACCGGGUANCGGGGAAUUAGGUUCGAUUCCGGAGANGGAGCCUGAGAAACGGCUACCACAUCCAAGGAAGGCAGCAGGCGCGCAAAUUACCCAAUCCCGAUACGGGGAGGUAGUGACAAUAAAUACUGAUACAGGGCUCUUUUGGGUCUUGUAAUUGGAAUGAGAACAAUCUAAAUCCCUUAACGAGGAACAAUUGGAGGGCAAGUCUGGUGCCAGCAGCCGCGGUAAUUCCAGCUCCAAUAGCGUAUAUUAAAGUUGUUGCAGUUAAAAAGCUCGUAGUUGAACCUUGGGCCCGUCCUGCCGGUCCGCCUCACCGCGAGUACUGGUCCGGAUGGGCCUUUCUUUCUGGGGAAUCCCAUGGCCUUCACUGGCUGUGGCGGGGAACCAGGACUUUUACU
rnacentral:rRNA from 1 species